CAGUUUAAAGAGGAAAUUCUCCCAUAUGAGAAAUUUUUAUAAUACUUAGAAGUUGGAUGACAGUUGAAAAUAUUUUAUUUAUUUCUUGUGCUUUUAUUAUUGAUUAAUAAAAACUUAAUAUUUCUCCCCAUACAGUAUUUAUAAUGUACUCAUGCUUCACUUCUAUGAUUAACAUUAUCAAACCAACAGCAAAUGAUAAUGCUGAUUUUUAUCAUCAUUAGAUUUUAUCUUAAAUGUUUCUUUAGGAUUGCUUUCCUGUGUUUUAUUUUAAAUAAGUUCAACUUGAACAUCACUUACAGAUCUAGGAAAAAGCAUUUUCAUUUCAAUCAUGUUACAAGUAGAAUUUCUACUAAGAUUACAAACCAGAAAAGUUAGAUAUCUAAUAUUUUAACAUUAGUUCCAUUUGGUAUGAUAAUGGAGAACUCCUCUGGCAAAACAUACUACAGAACCAGACAUAACGGAUGCUUGCUGGCUGUCAGACCUGUACAAGACACAGGAAUCUUUAUCCAUAUCCCACCCCCAAAGAAAUUGACUUUGUAGUAGUAGAUAAAUGUAUUCAACAGCUAUUGAUUGUGCACCUGCUCUAUGCAAGGUCAACAAUGAAAACUCAUCAUUUUUCUGUUUUUGCACUUUAGAAUUCCAGACAUUGCUGGAAGCAGAGAUGGACAAGAUGUUACCCACACUGGUUCUAAUACCCGUGACCCAUUUAUCCCAAGGAGAAAUUAUCCAUGUGGCAUACUGGUUUAACAUCUAGACCACCAAACAAAGACUCCACCAUUCUCCUUGAGGAACAUUGUCACCAAGUUAAAUUGAAAGUUGACGUAUGUCAACUCAAAACAGAUGAGAAACGGCAGGGUGCUUUAUGGAUUGAGAGCCAAGAAGGCAUAGAAUCCACUUCUGAUGGAUACGAGAAGAUAAAAGGAAUUCAAAUAAUGUGUAUCUGGGAAACUUGCUGUAAAAUACCAGAUGUAAUAGUGGUUAUGGAAAUCACCAAAGAGUAGAACAUAGAACCAACCCAUGGAAUUGGAAAGAUGCAGUAAACGCAUUUGCAAAGGUAAAUUUUCUAAUGUGGGUCAUAAGUAUUAAAUAUAUGAAAUGAAUAGUAGGUGCUGUUGGAACUUAGAAAAAGAGGUAUAAUUUCUAGAAGGAAUGAGCUUUGCACUGUUUCCUGAAGGAUGGAUCUGAUUUGAAUAGGUCAAGGAGAUAGGUGGUGCCAUAAGGGAGCCUGAUUAGCGAUGCCUCUUUCAAUUCCCAAGCACAGAAGCCCAAUAUAAACUGACUCAUGCAGGAGGAGUGGUCCUGGGGCUUCCAUGUGGCUGGAGUCACAGGGUCCUAUAAUUUGAAUUGGUUUCUCUCCCUCUCUUGGCUCUGCUUUCCUCUGCAUUGACUUUUGUCUCAGACUCCUGACUCCACCUGGUAGCUGCCAGGUUUAUAGUUUGCCCCAUUAACCACCCAACACAAAAGACCACUUCUCUUCCCCAAUAGCUCUAAGCAAACUCCUGUGAUUUACUCUGACUGAACCAACUUACAUCAUUUUUCCCAUCUCCGAGUCAACCAUUGAAGUAGGGAGGAUGGGGUUAACUGAUUGGCUAGGUCUGGAUUAUGUCUCUGUCCUUGGAACAGAAGCAGGAGGGGUCAGCCCCAUCUGAGCCACAUCCAAACAAGAUUAGGGAAGAGAUGGUUCCCCAGAGAGAAAAACUGUAAUGCUAUUACCAAAAAAAUAACAAUAAUCAUCAUCACUACAAUACUCUAAGAUAAAUAACUUACUAUGAGUACUAAAAAACUUACUCACCGGGUACUACUCUAAACAAUGUUCAUAUAUUGCUUGUUGACUUGUCCUACAUCCUGUAAAGGAGCUAAUCAUAUCCCCAUUUUCAGAUGAGGAAACUAAGGCCUGCAAAUGUAAAGGAUUUAUCACAUGGCCAGUAAAUGUCAGACCAGAGAUCUGAACCCAGGCUGUCGGAUUGCUGAGUUCUUGGUCUGACCUGGGAUAUGACACUAAAAUUGACUUCUGUACACACAGAAAAGUAGCUAAUGCUCAGACUCAGAAAUGAGCAAAGUAUACCUCACAAACAGCGAGAAGACCAGAAAUCAACGAUGACUUUGGUCUCAUCUCACGGCUUAUGGAAACAAUAUCCAGCUGGGAAGCAUGGAAACAAGUUCACAUUCCUCUGUUGCUCUUCACACGGGACAAGGGGCUAAACACUUCCCUGGAAAUUUUCUACAUGGAAUGAUCCUAUUCUAUGCUAGGGUAGGAUGAGGCAGUGCUGUCCUCACCAAGAGGUCAAGAUCUGACCAGGCCCAGGUGACCAUCAACUGAACCUCCAAGGGGAAUGAAAUGAUCACUGCAGAAAGCUGACUUAUCCUCCAGAGCCUACCCCAGCCCAAUCCUCUUGACAGCUUAUGGUUCAAGCUUUUACACAAUGUACCAAGGACUGAUUUCAUAUCUACGUCUGAUUCUCAUUCUCUCUCUCUCCCCCCUGUUUUGAAACAUCAUUCAUGGAGCAUAUAUAGAUCUUAGUUAAAACCAACAAUGCAUUUAAAAACAUGCACAAAAUCAAACAAUUGCCGUGUUGGCAUUGAGAACCAGCAGCCCCCGGCUUGAGUCUGUUGACUGUGCAUUUCCUGAUGUAAAGAAAAGCAAGCACAGUUGAGAAAACACCACAAAGCGUUAUAUGGCGACAGCUUGUGUACUUCAGAAGAGAAAUGGAUACAUUAGGAAGUUUUUCUUCCUUUGAUGUAGAAUAUGCUAUCUUCUUUUUUUUUUUGUAUUAAAAUGGGAGUUAACUUUAAAUAAAUAAAAUUCAGCCUGUGGGCUUCA
rnacentral:lncRNA from 12 species